rnacentral:rRNA from 1 species
CCUACGGGGGUCAGCCGUGGGGGAUAUUGCACAAUGGGGGGAACCCUGAUGCAGCGAAGCCGCGUGGGUGCAGAAGCGCCUCGGCGCGUAACGACCUGUCAGCAGGGAAGAAAAUGACGGUACCUGAAGAAGAAGCCCCGGCUAACUACGGACCAGCAGCCGCGGUAAUACGUCGGGGGCAAGCGUUAUCCGGAUUUACUGGGGGUAAAGGGGGCGCAGACGGCGGUGCAAGCCAGGAGUGAAAGCCCGGGGCACAACCCCGUGAAUGCUCGUGGAACUGCGUGGCUGGAGUGGAGGAGGGGCAGGCGGAAUUCCUGUUGUAGCGGUGAAAUGCGUAGAGAUCAGGAGGAGCACCGGUGGCGAAGGCGGCCUGCUGGACUGCAACUGACGUUGAGGCCCGAAAGCGUGGGGAGCAAACAGGAUUAGAUACCCGAGUAGUC